UACAUGGGGUGCAAACGUUGCUCGGAAUUAUUGGGCGUAAAGCGCGCGUAGGCGGUUAUCUAAGUCGGAUGUGAAAGCCCUCAGCUUAACUGAGGAAGUGCACCCGAAACUGGGUAGCUAGAGUACUAAAGAGGGUCGCGGAAUUCCCGGUGUAGAGGUGAAAUUCGUAGAUAUCGGGAGGAACACCGGUGGCGAAGGCGGCGACCUGGGUAGAUACUGACGCUGAGGAGCGAAAGCGUGGGGAGCAAACAGG
rnacentral:rRNA from 1 species